UACGGGGGGGGCAAGCGUUGUUCGGAAUUACUGGGCGUAAAGCGCGCGUAGGCGGCUUUUCAAGUCAGGCGUGAAAGCCCCAGGCUUAACCUGGGAACUGCGUUUGAUACUGUUAAGCUAGAGUGUGGAAGGGGCUACUGGAAUUCCGUGUGUAGCGGUGAAAUGCGUAGAUAUACGGAGGAACACCGAUGGCGAAGGCAAUCCCCUGGACCUGUACUGACGCUCAUGCACGAAAGCGUGGGGAGCAAACAGG
rnacentral:rRNA from 1 species